GGCCGUGUGGCUCAAUGGCAGAGCGUCUGACUACGAUUAGGCUAAAGCUGCUAAUGCGGCUAGCACUAACGAAAGUAAAUCAGAAGGUCGCAGGUUCGACCCCUGUCUCGGUCA